CUAGAAUAGGGAUUUACAUCCGGUAAAAUUGGAACGAUACAUAGAAGAUUAGCAUGCCCCCGCGCAAGGAUGACAUCACAAAAUAACAUACUGUUGCAAUGUAA